rnacentral:misc_RNA from 1 species
GAUGAAGAACGCAGCGAAAUGCGAUAAGUAAUGUGAAUUGCAGAAUUCAGUGAAUCAUCGAGACUUUGAACGCACAUUGCGCCCCCUGGUAUUCCGGGGGGCAUGCCUGUCCGAGCGUCAUUACAACCCUCAAGCUCAGCUUGGUGUUGGGCCCCGCCGCCCCGGCGGGCCCUAAAGUCAGUGGCGGUGCCGUCCGGCUCCGAGCGUAGUAAUUCUUCUCGCUCUGGAGGUCCGGUCGUGUGCUCGCCAGCAACCCCCAAUUUUUUUCAGGUUGACCUCGGAUCAGGUAGGGAUACCCGCUGAACUUAAGCAUAUCAAUAAGCGGAGGA